GACGAGCUCACACUGACUCCUGCUGACUGCCCUGCUCUGCUGCCGCCGCUGCUCUUGGCAACCAGGGAGCAGAGAAAUGGCUGAAGACAGAAGGGUGUACUCUGGCCUGUUGAGAUGGCUUAGGAGAAUGGAACCACAUGGUCACCAAGCAGACAACGGCAGCAGUGGGGUGACAGCUCCCAAUGCCACCACUCAACUCCGGUGAUAACGGCCAAACUUAUAUUCAGGGCAAGGCCUGUACUCUCUGCCACUGCCUGCUUCUUUGGGAAAGCCUUCUGUAAUCCUAUCAGAGACAGGGGUCUCACCGUGUUGCCCAGACUGGUCUUGAACUCCUGGGUUCAAGCAAUCCUCCUGCCUCAGCCUCCCAAAGUGCUGGGAUUACAGGUGUGAGCUACCACGCCUGGCCCAAAGAACUCUUUCAAAAAAGGAAACAAACAGUACCUUGCAUUGGAAGAACAAACAUCAUGAAAAGCCAUCAGUAGAAAUGAGACCUCAACUUUUCCAGGUAAACUUUUCAUUUGACAUUUAGAAGUUACCCCUCUACACUUAAAAUUGUUUCUUGUUGUGCUUUUUGUUUUGGGGGCUUGGGUAGAGUUGAAUACAGAUGGCGUUCAACUGGUACUACUAUCUAAAUGAGACACAGUUUGAAGACAGUAAGAAUGAUGAGUGCCUCCGGGACCUAGUUUAACCACCACAAGAAGAGACUGCAGGGCCCAGAGUGUCCCCAGAGCCCAGCUUCUGCGGCCUGGGCAGGAAGUAUGUGCUCUGACUGACGCUCCACAGUGGGGCUGGGGGGUCAGCACUCUUUCUAGAGAGAGUCUACUGUAGCAGGAACUUUGACCAGAGAACAGCGCUCCACAACUAGCUUCAGUGGAUCUUGUUUUUUCCUAUUGCUAUAGGAAGCUUGGAAAGAGGUUUCUUGAAAAUGUGAAUACUUAAAUUCCUACUUCUUCACUGGAUUAGAGAGACACAGAGCAUAGACUCAGACAGCUGGGCUCUGGGAACAUUUCAGGCAACUGAAGUCUCAUAACUGAGGCUGCCGGGGUGUUGGCCUCAAGCUGUAGACUUUACUCAGGCACACACGUACACGCUCACUCUCACUCUGAUGCCUGGUGGGGCUUUCACUCCCGCAGCAUCUGCUAUAUUUAUAGGUACCUUCGGCAAGUGCAGCAGGGCACUGAGCAUCAGGUGGAGACCAAAGAGAUGAAGGAAUGUUUAUCAACCGCCUGCCACACACUGAAGGAAUGUUUGUCAAGCAUCUACCAUGCACCAGGGGCUGAAGGAAUGUUUAUCAAGCACCUACUACGCACUGAAGGAAUGUUUAUCAAGCACCUACCAUGCACCAGGCACUGAAGGAACGUUUAUCAAGCACCUACCAUGCACCAGGGGCUGAAAGAAUGUUUAUCAAGCACCUACUACGCACUGAAGGAAUGUUUAUCAAGCACCUACCACGCACUGAAGGAAUGUUUAUCAAGCACCUACCACGCACCAGGUGCUGAAGGAACGUUUAUCAAGCACCGACUACGCACUGAAGGAAUGUUUAUCAAGGACCUACCACGCACCGGGCGCUGAAGGAAUGUUUAUCAAGCACCUACCACGCACCAGGGGCUGAAGGAAUGUUUAUCAAGCACCGACUACGCACUGAAGGAAUGUUUAUCAAGGACCUACCACGCACCGGGCGCUGAAGGAACGUUUAUCAAGCACCUACCACGCACUGAAGGAACGUUUAUCAAG
rnacentral:lncRNA from 1 species